GGGUGAGUAAUACAUAAGAAUCUACCUCUUAGAGGGGGAUACCCUAGAGAAAUUUAGGUUAAUACCGCGUAAUCCCAGAGAUGGGCAAAGGUGGCCUCAUGCUACCGCUGAGAGAUGAGCUUGUGGACUAUUAGCUAGUUGGUGGGGUAAAGGCCUACCAAGGCGAAGAUGGUUAACCGGCCUGAGAGGGUGUACGGUCACAAUGGGACUGAGAUACGGCCCAUACUCCUACGGGAGGCAGCAGUGGGGAAUAUUGCACAAUGGGCGCAAGCCUGAUGCAGCGACGCCGCGUGAAGGAUGAAGGCUUUCGAGUCGUAAACUUCUGUUAAGUGGGAAGAAAUGCGCAUGGUUAAUACCCAUGUGAGCUGACGGUACCACUAGAGAAAGCACCGGCUAACUUCGUGCCAGCAGCCGCGGUAAUACGAAGGGUGCAAGCGUUAUUCGGAGUUAUUGGGCGUAAAGAGCGUGUAGGCGGCUUGUUAAGUCUGAUGUUAAAUUACCCAGCUCAACUGGGUUUAUGCAUCGGAAACUGGCGAGCUAGAGUGUAAGAGAGAGAAGUGGAAUUCUCGGAGUAGCGGUAAAACGCGUAGAUCUCGAGAGGAACACCGGUGGCGAAGGCGGCUUCUUGGCUUACAACUGACGCUGCAAUGCGAAAGCGUGGGGAGCAAACAGGAUUAGAUACCCUGGUAGUCCACGCUGUAAACGAUGAUCACUAGAUAUGGGUACUGCGUAGCAGGAUCUGUGUCGAAGCUAACGCGUUAAGUGAUCCGCCUGGGAAUUACGGUCGCAAGAUUAAAACUCAAAGGAAUUGACGGGGGUCCGCACAAGCGGUGGAACAUGUGGUUUAAUUCGACACUACGCGAGGAACCUUACCUGGGCUUGACAUGUACAUGAACGGCGUAGAGAUACGUUUUCUUGUAGCAAUACAAGCAGGUACACAGGUGCUGCAUGGCUGUCGUCAGCUCGUGUCGUGAGAUGUUGGGUUAAGUCCUUUAACGAGCGCAACCCUUGCCGCUAGUUGCAACGUCGCAAGAUGGCACUCUAGCGGGACUGCCUGGGAAACCAGGAGGAAGGUGGGGAUGACGUCAAGUCCUCAUGGCCCUUAUGUCCAGGGCUACACACGUGUUACAAUGGCGAAUACAACGAGGAGCAAGCUCGCGAGAGUAAGCAAAUCUCUUAAAAUUCGUCUCAGUUCAGAUUGAAGUCUGCAACUCGACUUCAUGAAGUUGAAAUCGCUAGUAAUCGCGCAUCAGAACGGCGCGGUGAAU
rnacentral:rRNA from 1 species